GGAACGGGGGAGAAGAAGGGCACCGCGGCGGGAGGGAAGAAACAGAGCGAGCUACGCUGCAGGAGCGCAGUUACCAGCCGGCUGCGAUCACGUGCCUGGGAGGAGGAGCUGAGACCUCAGGGGAGGGGCGCGCGGUAGCGUCCCGGGUCCCCUAGCAGGGCUCUAGAGACCACGUGAAGUCUCCUCGGAGCUGGUGUAGUGAAGGAUGAAGAGAAGGCAAUGCAUUGGUUUAGACAAGCCUCCCAGCAGGACCAUCCUGGUGCUGCCUUUAACCUUGCAGUAGGAACACUGAAAAACAUGACUGCCUCCAUGGAAGCAGGGGAUGUAGAAAUGCUCCUUAAUGUUGCUGCAAAAUGGGGGAUCCAAGAAGCCCAAGAACUUCUGGAGAAUGUUAUUUGGACUAAAAGCAAGCUCUUGCCAACUGAAAGAACCAGGAGUUCUUAUAAACCAUAAUGUGUGCCUGCAUGCUCUUCCUGGAACAUGGGAUGUUCUGCUCUC